UACGAAGGGUGCAAGCGUUAAUCGGAAUUACUGGGCGUAAAGCGCGCGUAGGUGGUUCAGUAAGUUGGAAGUGAAAUCCCCGGGCUCAACCUGGGAACUGCUUUCAAAACUGCUGAGCUAGAGUACGGUAGAGGGUGGUGGAAUUUCCUGUGUAGCGGUGAAAUGCGUAGAUAUAGGAAGGAACACCAGUGGCGAAGGCGACCACCUGGACUGAUACUGACACUCAUGCACGAAAGCGUGGGGAGCAAACAGG
rnacentral:rRNA from 1 species